rnacentral:rRNA from 1 species
UACGGGGGGGGUAAGCGUUGUUCGGAAUUACUGGGCGUAAAGGGCUCGUAGGUGGCCAACUAAGUCAGACGUGAAAUCCCUCGGCUUAACCGGGGAACUGCGUCUGAUACUGGAUGGCUUGAGUUUGGGAGAGGGACGCGGAAUUCCAGGUGUAGCGGUGAAAUGCGUAGAGAUCCGGAAGAACACCGGUGGCGAAGGCGGCCUGCUGGGCAGUGGCUGACGCUGAGGCGCGACAGCGUGGGGAGCAAACAGG